rnacentral:rRNA from 1 species
UCAGGACGAACGCUGGCGGCGUGCCUAACACAUGCAAGUCGAGCGAGGAGAUUCCUCGGGAUGAUCCUAGCGGCGGACGGGUGAGUAACACGUGGGCAACCUGCCUCAUAGAGAGGAAUAGCCUUCCGAAAGGGAGAUUAAUACCUCAUAACAUUGCAGUUUCGCAUGGAACAGCAAUUAAAGGAGUAAUCCGCUAUGAGAUGGGCCCGCGGCGCAUUAGCUAGUUGGUGAGGUAAUGGCUCACCAAGGCGACGAUGCGUAGCCGACCUGAGAGGGUGAUCGGCCACAUUGGGACUGAGACACGGCCCAGACUCCUACGGGAGGCAGCAGUGGGGAAUAUUGCACAAUGGGGGAAACCCUGAUGCAGCAACGCCGCGUGAGUGAUGACGGCCUUCGGGUUGUAAAGCUCUGUCUUCAGGGACGAUAAUGACGGUACCUGAGGAGGAAGCCACGGCUAACUACGUGCCAGCAGCAGC